rnacentral:rRNA from 1 species
AUUGAACGCUGGCGGCAGGCUUAACACAUGCAAGUCGAGCGGGGGAAGGUAGCUUGCUACCGGACCUAGCGGCGGACGGGUGAGUAAUGCUUAGGAUUCUGCCUGUUAGUGGGGGACAACAUCUCGAAAGGGAUGCUAAUACCGCAUACGUCCUACGGGAGAAAGAAGGGGAUCUUCGGAACUUGAGCUAAUAGAUGAGCCUAAGUCGGAUUAGCUAGUUGGUGGGGUAAAGGCCUACCAAGGCGACGAGCUGUAGCGGGUCUGAGAGGAUGAUCCGCCACACUGGGACUGAGACACGGCCCAGACUCCUACGGGAGGCAGCAGUGGGGAAUAUUGGACAAUGGGGGGAACCCUGAUCCAGCCAUGCCGCGUGUGUGAAGAAGGCCUUAUGGUUGUAAAGCACUUUAAGCGAGGAGGAGGCUACUUUAGUUAAUACCUAGAGAUAGUGGACGUUACUCGCAGAAUAAGCACCGGCUAACUCUGUGCCAGCCGCCGCCGUAA